rnacentral:snRNA from 1 species
AUACGCAUGUGGCAGGGGAGGUACCAUGAUCAUGAAGGUGGUUUUCCCAGGGCGAGGCUUAUCCAUUGCACUCCGGAUGUGCUGACUCUUGCAAUUUCCCCAAAUGUGGGAAACUCAACAGCAUAAUUUGUUGUAGUGGGGAACUGUGUUCUCACUCUCCCCUA